AGUUGACCUCGAAUCAGGUAGGAAUACCCGCUGAACUUAAGCAUAUCAAUAAGCGGAGGAAAAGAAACCAACAGGGAUUGCCCCAGUAACGGCGAGUGAAGCGGCAACAGCUCAAAUUUGAAAUCUGGCUCUCGGGCCCGAGUUGUAAUUUGUAGAGGAUGCUUUUGGUGAGGUGCCUUCCGAGUUCCCUGGAACGGGACGCCAUAGAGGGUGAGAGCCCCGUCUGGUUGGACGCCGAACCUCUGUAAAGCUCCUUCGACGAGUCGAGUAGUUUGGGAAUGCUGCUCUAAAUGGGAGGUAUAUGUCUUCUAAAGCUAAAUACCGGCCAGAGACCGAUAGCGCACAAGUAGAGUGAUCGAAAGAUGAAAAGAACUUUGAAAAGAGAGUUAAACAGUACGUGAAAUUGUUGAAAGGGAAGCGCUUGUGACCAGACUUGGGCUUGGUUGAUCAUCCGGGGUUCUCCCCGGUGCACUCUUCCGGCCCAGGCCAGCAUCAGUUCGCCCUGGGGGACAAAGGCUUCGGGAACGUGGCUCUCUCCGGGGAGUGUUAUAGCCCGUUGCGUAAUACCCUGUGGCGGACUGAGGUUCGCGCAUUCGCAAGGAUGCUGGCGUAAUGGUCAUCAGUGACCCGUCUUGAAACACGGACCAAGGAGUCGUCUUCGUAUGCGAGUGUUCGGGUGUCAAACCCCUACGCGAAAUGAAAGUGAACGCAGGUGAGAGCUUCGGCGCAUCAUCGACCGAUCCUGAUGUUAUCGGAUGGAUUUGAGUAAGAGCAUACGGGGCCGGACCCGAAAGAAGGUGAACUAUGCCUGUGUAGGGUGAAGCCAGAGGAAACUCUGGUGGAGGCUCGCAGCGGUUCUGACGUGCAAAUCGAUCGUCAAACAUGGGCAUGGGGGCGAAAGACUAAUCGAACUU
rnacentral:sRNA from 2 species